UGCACGCGGCAGAGGGUAAGGACAGAGCCCAGAGUUCAGUGCCAUGGUAGAGGCUAUAAAGUUAGAUUACCAGAUGUGUACAGAAACAAAAAUGGUGUUCAUAAUUCAGUUUUGAUAAGUAAAAUCCUGUACCCGUAAUUCUUAGUACUCUGGCUUGUUUUUAGGACCAGUGCGAAGUUUCAGUUUACUGGUGCUGCACUCCAUUCUGUAACUAUAACCGAUUGGAGUACAGAAAACACAUAUGCAGAAAUAAAAAACUACUGAAUAAUAAAAAAUGUAACAAACAUACUACAAUAUU
rnacentral:lncRNA from 1 species